rnacentral:rRNA from 1 species
UACGUAGGGUGCAAGCGUUGUCCGGAAUUAUUGGGCGUAAAGAGCUCGUAGGCGGUUCGUCGCGUCGGCUGUGAAAACCCGGAGCUCAACUCCGGGCCUGCAGUCGAUACGGGCGGACUCGAGUUCGGCAGGGGAGACUGGAAUUCCUGGUGUAGCGGUGAAAUGCGCAGAUAUCAGGAGGAACACCGAUGGCGAAGGCGGGUCUCUGGGCCGAUACUGACGCUGAGGAGCGAAAGCGUGGGGAGCGAACAGG